AUUUAUCUGUGAGUUAAUGGUGAUCAGUACCAGAGACAUGUAUGUUUUAUUGUGUGUGGAUGGUGUUCAACACCAAGGACAGGACUUUUUGUCU
rnacentral:pre_miRNA from 1 species